rnacentral:rRNA from 1 species
CCUACGGGCGGCUGCAGUGGGGAAUAUUGCACAAUGGGCGCAAGCCUGAUGCAGCCAUGCCGCGUGUGUGAAGAAGGCCUUCGGGUUGUAAAGCACUUUCAGCGGGGAGGAAGGCGGUGAGGUUAAUAACCUCAUCGAUUGACGUUACCCGCAGAAGAAGCACCGGCUAACUCCGUGCCAGCAGCCGCGGUAAUACGGAGGGUGCAAGCGUUAAUCGGAAUUACUGGGCGUAAAGCGCACGCAGGCGGUCUGUCAAGUCGGAUGUGAAAUCCCCGGGCUCAACCUGGGAACUGCAUUCGAAACUGGCAGGCGAGAGUCUUGUAGAGGGGGGUAGAAUUCCAGGUGUAGCGGUGAAAUGCGUAGAGAUCUGGAGGAAUACCGGUGGCGAAGGCGGCCCCCUGGACAAAGACUGACGCUCAGGUGCGAAAGCGUGGGGAGCAAACAGGAUUAGAUACCCGUGUAGUC